CUUUCUUUAGAGAUAUUAUUCAAUAUUACAGAGAAGUCUAGAUAGAACCGCUAUAAUCAAUAUUUAAAAUAAAAUUAUUUUACAUAUAAUAAUUUAUUAUAAAAUUUCACACCAUUUAACUCAAGGAAUCUUUUAGACUCCUUUAAUUUCCUUUCUCUACCCAAUUGUGGGUUUCUUUUUCUUGUAUUUGAGUGGAUUUUGUGUAUAAUUUUAGUUGUAUUUUAAUUUAUAAGUUUAGAUUUUUACUGGAAGCUUUUUUAUUUUGCUUGUCGGGUUCGUUCUUUUACUAUUAUCUGGUGGAAGCUGUACUUUGGUUUGGUUGCCAUUCUAGGCAGUAGUCUUGCGUAGAAUAACCGUUCACGGAGUAAUCGCAACGACUUCGUUUUGCAAGGGCAGCACUUGCCUCUACCACAGGUCACAGUCCUGCUUUUGAAGUUCCAACCUGACAAAUUGUUUAAAGCUCCACAAGCUUCCAUAUCUUCCCUGAAAAUAUCAGUAACUUUUCCUUUUUUUCUGAGAAUUGCUCCCGCUUCUCACUCUGCUGAUUAAAGUGGGGAAGUAGAUUUUUCUUUUUCACUUCCAAAAUCCGACUAUGAGUAUUUGGAGGAUGGUACGUGGAAGAUGAAGCGUAACUCUAUGUUGGAGAUGGGGUGGGGAAGUGGAAUUGCAGCAUUAAGGAUAGCUGAAGCUAGCUGUUUGCCAAUCCUUUGAUGGCGACUCGAAAAUGUCUGGUUCUCCCUGUAUGGAAUACAUUGAAGCCUUUUCCACAACCUACAGAACAUGGUUGGAUGAAGCUGAGCUUGCUAAGACUGUACCAAACAGUAUAUAUUUGAAGCGGCUGGAUGCUGGAUCUAUUUUCCCCACCUGGAAUAAACUCUAUUAUACAGAUUGAGCAAGUCCGUUGGCUCUCUAAUGAUAUUUUAAUAGAAAGGUGUCAUCUCCAGGUGUUCAAAUUCCAGAAUAGCUGGAUCCGUUCAAGGAUCAACCAAUGUCUGUGAAUAUGUCAGUGAGAUAGUUGCAUCAGAUUCAUGCUCAGAAAGUGAUGGUGUUUUCAGGCCCAUUUCUUUUGACAAAGAAAUAAAAUGCUGCACUUGGGGAUUGGCUGAUGUGAGGUUAAAUAGAUAAAAAGGAGGAAAAGGAAGAUGUCUUAGCAAAAAACAAAGAGAGUGGCGCGUGGACACACCCUUUCACUCCUUGCACUUCAUUUGACUGUAGUCUGAGAUUUUUUUUUUUUUUGGUUCAUCUUGUGAUCAUGCAUGCCUUUAGAAAACUUCAACAAUACUCUUUCUUUGAUAAAGAGAUCCAGCAAUGUAUCAUAGAAAUAGCUGUGUCAAUAUAUGUAGGGGGCUUGCAAUUGGCCCUAUUCCGAAAAAAUGAGUUGUACCAAUUUUACUUUACAUAUUUGAAUAACAAAUUUUGCUUUUUUUUUUCAAAUAUUUUUUUUAACCCAAAUGAAGUGAGGAUCAAGUGGGCAACUGUACAGAAGUGAAGAGUGAUGUGAACAUAGCAACUAUCAUAACGCUAUACAGAGAUUGGAAAAUACGCUGUCUUGACAGAGCUUAAGAAUAAAUUACCUGGACAAAAAGAUUCCUAAGGUUCGAAAAUAUGCCGUGUCUUGUCAGAAGUUAAGAAUAGAAAAAAAAAAAGCUUCUGAAUCCACAAACUGUUUCAUAUGGAGUGUCAUUUCUUUGGUGGAUCACAUUUGAAAACAGUUUCAUCCCAUGGUGAGCUUCACAUCCUUCGAAUUGGUGGAAUCAAGGUUUGACUCUUAUUGUUGAAUUUUAGUUUCAGUCUUAGAUUCAUUACACAUGAAUACAAAUCCUUUUUUAGCAUACAUCGCUUGGUUAAUUGCUUAACUGGUGUAUGAGAUAGUUGGGCAUCAAAUGUUACAGUAAUUGUUCUCGGUGCAGCAAUUCCUCUUUUCUUUGGGUAAAAUUCUUAGUUUCUUUUUAAUGAAUUCUUUCUGGUUCUCUGGAUCAGUUUGAAUGCAGAAACACUUUUAUUUCUUGACCAUAUAACAUGAUCUUCAGGAUAGAAGACUUGGCCAUUUGUGAAUUAUGACAGUGAAACAGAAGAGCCUUAUUCAGUUGUGUCCAUUUCUCCACUCUCUUUUUCUUGGUAUAUUGGAACAUUUUAAAGGGGAGGGAUGGGUUUGUCAUAGAUUUAACCCUUGACCUUCUAUUGCUCCUUCUUUUGGCUCACUUCAUUCUAACUUUAAUUGUUGUACAUUCAUAAAGCAAAAGCCUUGUUGUGCCUUCAUUUUUCCUGGAGUAUCAUGAGUUGGGCCUUUGGCUGAUUACAUGUUCCUUUCACUUGCUUCAUUCUAAUUGAAAGGCGAUUUCACGGGUAGGGUCAUUCAUCAUGAUUAUUCUAAUGGCCUCCAUAUGAUUGUGAUUGAGAUAGUUAUAUACCUUUAUGUAUGUUGCUUUGUUUUUUGUCACAGCUUAUGCUUUUCAAAAUCAGCUUGCUCAGUUACUGUUGAAGUGAAUCAUUCUCAGUUACUGUUGAAGUGAAUCAUUCUCUAAUUUUUCUAUAUGUGGAUCAAUUGAAUUCCACAGAUUGACCUUCACAAUUUGAUUAAUGUACUUGCUUCCUGGCUGGCUCAAAAGUGAUGGGUGCUGCUUGGGAAACUAAUGCACAGUCAAAAUUUACAAUUUUCACCAACUAAAUUUUUUGUCUGCUAAAUCCUUAGGUGUUAUCAUCAUUCUUAAGAGCUUGAGAUAAGCCUAAGUACACUCUCUCUCCCCACACCCACCCCCACCUCCCCAAUGCGGGCACACACACAC